rnacentral:rRNA from 1 species
AUGCUUUGUCGGACAAGCACAACACGAGGUAAUGGAAAGCUCCAAUGCCCACCUACAAUAUAUUUUGUCCUGAGAAAAAAUUACACGAAGGGGAGCCUUGGCGCAGUGGUAAAGCUGCUGCCUUGUGACCAUGAGGUCAUGGGUUCAAGUCCUGGAAACAGCCUCUUACAGAAAUGUAGGGAAAGGCUGCGUACUAUAGACCCAAAGUGGUCGGACCCUGCGCAAGCGGGAGCUACAUGCACCAGGUUGCCCUUUGAGAAAAAAUUACACAAGAGUGCUAGGAUGUUCAAAAAUAAAAAUAGUACACACGUGUGGUGUCGUUUAUAUAAUUUUGUAAAGAAGAUCUAUAUGUGUAAGUUAUCUGAUAAAAGAAAGAAGAAAAUCAACUUGCAAAUUUAG